AUGACCCUGCUGGAAUGCGGGGGGGAACUCCAGCCCCCCGGGGGGUCCCUGACAUUGCUGUGCCAAGGGUCCGGGUUCAGUUUUGGGAGUGUUGCCAUGAGCUGGGUCCGUCAGAGACCCGGGCAGGGGCUGGAGUUCGUCGCCUACAUCCGCAGCGGUGGCAGCACCUGGUACGCCGAUUCGGUCAAGGGCCGGUUCAUGAUCGCCAGGGACAACGGGCAGAGUCUGAUGACGCUGACCAUGACCAACCUCAAGGUCGAGGAUUCCACUCUUUAUUUCUGUGCC